UUCUCGUCUAAAGUUCAAGUAUGUGGUUCAAGUCUGUGGUUCUCUAGACUAUUGUUCUAGACUAUGGUUAUAGUCUAUGGUUCGAGUUAGGCCACCUGCUUGUUGUGAGAUGCCUGGAUCCACUGGGAACACACAUCAGACACCAGGUGAGAUGGGUGGUGGACCUGAGGCUACACUGGGAACACAUCAGACACCAGGUACAAGUGUUGGCAAACCGCAUUGUUAUGAGGCUUGAUGCUUGAUGACCCAAGUCGGCUCGGCCUGCCUGCCCCGGUACAGCCACCACCCACAUCCGAACUUGUGCGGGUACAAGUGUCACGAAGAAAUCCAGAGAACCCUCAAGAAGAUGUUACACAAUAGAAACCAUGAAGCAUUUCUUUCAAUAUCCCAAAUAAAUAUUUUUCUAACCAAAAAGUGUGUAUUAUUGAACAAAUUAAAGGAAGGUGGGGCAAACAUCUGUUAUUUAAAAAAAUUGAAACAUUUCAAAACCAUAUACAAUUAUAUUUAUUUACAAUGUUUAUUUGCAGGUAAACGUAAAUGUGUCCCUAAUCUUCCAGACACAGCAUCUGCCUAUGACAACUCACCUGCGGGGACUAGCGACAGCAUACCGUCUCGAUCUCUGAAUCCAUUUCCCUGUAAUUCCGUACACAAGUGAUGUACUUGAGCAGAUACAUAAAUGUACGAUUGCUGCGCAAAUUGUUCACGCUAUCGUUAUGUAUUAUGUUGGCCAACACUCUUACACUGAUCGUUCUGAUCAACAACCAAAGAUAAAACAAUUGUAAUCUAGGAUAUAACAUCUCCCCGUCAACUAUAAAAAAUGAUGGGAUUAU